rnacentral:tRNA from 2 species
CGGGGAUUAGCGCAGCUGGCUAGCGCGCCUGCUUUGGGAGCAGGAGGCCGCGAGUUCGAAUCUCGCAUCCCCGA